GGUAGCUCAGCGGUAGAGCACCGCGCUGAAGACGCGGGGGUCGUUGGUUCAAAUCCAACCC
rnacentral:tRNA from 1 species